rnacentral:rRNA from 1 species
GAUGAACGCUGGCGGCGUGCCUAAUACAUGCAAGUCGAGCGAACGGACGAGAAGCUUGCUUCUCUGAUGUUAUCGGCGGACGGGUGAGUAACACGUGGAUAACCUAACUAUCAGACGGGGAUAACUUCGGGAAACCGGAGCUAAUACCGGAUGAUAUUUUGAACCGCAUGGUUCAAAAGUGAAAGACGGUCUUGCUUUCACUUAUAGAUGGAUCCGCGCUGCAUUAGCUAGUUGGUAAGGUAACGGCUUACCAAGGCAACGAUGCAUAGCCGUCCUCAGCGGGUCGUUGGCUAGCCUGUCAGUGAGACACGUCCCAGACUCCGACGCGGGGCCGCAGUAGGGAAUCUUCCGCGAUGGACGAGUGCCUGACGGAGCAACGCCGCGUGAGUGAUGAAGGUGCUCUGAUCGUAGAGCUCUGUUAUCCGUGAAGUACAAAUGCGUAAGUAACCGUGAACAUCUUGACGGUACCUAAUCAGUAAGCCACGGCUAACUACGUG